rnacentral:rRNA from 1 species
UACGUAGGUGGCAAGCGUUGUCCGGAAUUAUUGGGCGUAAAGCGCGCGCAGGCGGCCUCUUAAGUCUGAUGUGAAAGCCCCCGGCUCAACCGGGGAGGGCCAUUGGAAACUGGGAGGCUUGAGUAUAGGAGAGAAGAGUGGAAUUCCACGUGUAGCGGUGAAAUGCGUAGAGAUGUGGAGGAACACCAGUGGCGAAGGCGACUCUUUGGCCUAUAACUGACGCUGAGGCGCGAAAGCCAGGGGAGCGAACGGG